rnacentral:lncRNA from 1 species
CAGGAAUUACGGAAUUCCUCUCUGACUUCAGGCCCUGACUUUCAAAGAGAUUAAUCCAAUACUGGGCAUCUUUAUACUAGGUAAGGAUUAAAAUUAUAUCAGUAAUUUCACUUAUUUUAAACACUUUAUUGAAGCACAACCCGUUUGAAACGCAUUCCGUACAGUUUUUCUCUUUAAAUUUAGAAGUUGAAUUAUUUUUUAUAUACGUAUAAUUAAAUAUAUUUGUGUGGCGGAGAAAUUUAGAAGUAUUUUAAACACGUGUACACUCCCACUGCCUCUUUUUCCACCUUCUGUUCUCUCUCUCUCUCUCUCUCUCUCUCUCUCUCGCUUUAUAUCUCUUUCUUUCUCUCUCCCCUCUCUCUCUCCGCCUCUCUGUAUACAUACAUAACAUAUAUAUAUAUAUGUGCAUAUAUAUAUACAUACAUACAUAUAUACAUAUAUAUAUAUAUAUUUACAUAUAUUUACACACACAUAUAUAUAUAUAUAUAUAUAUAUAUAUAUAUAGAUAGAUAGAUAGAUAGAUAGAUAGAUAGAUAGAUAGAUAGAUAGAUAGAUAGAUAGAUAGAUAGAUAGAUAGAUAGAUAGAUAGAUAGAUAGAUAGAUAUACAGAGAGAGAGACAGACAGACAGAGAGACAGACAGAUAGACAGAGAGAUAUAUAGAUAUGAUUAUGAUAUAUGCACUGAGUUCAGUUUGGCAAUCAUUUAAUUAAACAAUUUCUAUCAUAUCCACAUCGCGUUUUGCUGUCAAAAGGCUGUUUAUGAAAUAUUAAGCAUUAUAUUCGUUAGGUUUUUUCUGUACGAAUGUUUGUCUGAAGAACGCAUCAUUUCAUUUCCUGUAUUUUACAUCAGAAUGUCUUGUUUUAUAUCUCACCAGUAUUCUUUAUAAUGUUUACGUGACGAGACUUUAAAAUCUCAUGCUAUAGAAUUUUAUUUUAUUUUCUCCUCAUUUUUCAAACUUAGAUAUCAAUGUUUUUAUAAGUUUUACAUAGGAGUCAGUAUUUUCGUUUGCUAGAUGUCAAAUGACAGCCGAUGGAAAAAUCAUUUCCUUAACAUUCAUUCUUUCCUUGGAAUAGACGUCACAGUACAUGUUAUCGAUUCAUAGUACGUACUAUAAUACAGUCGUCUAUUACAUUCUUAUCAUGGCACUUGAUGCACAGAAAUAAUCAAUUCAAAGAAAAAAAAAACGCAAACAUUUUAUCAGGAAUGUAUUGUCAUAUUUGUGCGUAAACGGUUUGUAAUUUUACAGAAUUAAGAUAUUUAAAAUUUAAAAACAUCGCGUAAUAUUUGCCGCUGGUAAUUUUCUGCCAGCGAAUUUUGAAUAUAGAAAUGUUCCCGAUAAUUUGUGGAUGGAAACCUGUCAUUAAGUAAUAGCUGCAUUUGUUCUAUUAUAUGUGUUAGGUUCUAUUAAAAAAUGUUAUACAACCUGGCUUAACACUCACUCACUCACGCACAAACACUCACACAGCAGACACACGCAGCAGACACACGCAGCGAACACAUCAUUUAUAUACACACAGAUACACACACAUCACCACCACACACAUGGUUGGUAGAAUCGUUAUCGCACCGGGUGUGGAUGCACAUGGCCUAGUGUUUAGAGCAGCGGACUUUGAAUCUCAGGCCGUGUGAAGUGUGUGUUUAUGAGCGAAACACCUAUGCUCCACGCAGCUCCGGCAGAAGGUAAUGGCGAACUUCUGCUGACUCUUUCACCACAAUUUUUUUCUAUUUCUGUCCUCUCGAAUCUUGCAGCUCACCUGCGACGGACCGGCGACCCGCCCAGGUGGGGAACCAAUACGCCAAGGAAACCGGGAAACCGGCCCUUAUGAGCAAGGCAUGGCUCGCGAAGGAACAAACAUCGUACCGGGCGAAAUGUUUAGCUGUAUUUCGUCUGUCGUUUCAAUUUUUGUUCAGAUUUAGACUUAACUACUCUUGGGUUAGAGACUCAAAUUCACGUCCUCCACAUUGGAUUGUGGUUCAUGAAGAGAACGCGGUGAGGCCUUUGCCCUUAAUUGAACUAAAUGUAGGCAAUCGAAUACAAUAUGUCCCAUUAAAGUCUUUCUAUGGAAAUAUCUAUAUCAAUUGUUGGGAAAUACUAAAUUAAAGUCGCAAUGAUUGUUCUUAUAAGUAAUUAUAAUUAAAAAUUAAGUGAAUACAAAAUUUUAAAAAAAAUUCUUAGGCUAUCUCGAGCUCAGUAAUAGUGGGCCAGAGGAGAGAGAAUCAAUUUGAACAAUUCAUAUAACCCCCACCAUGAAGAAGCUGCAACACACAAUAAGUGCAUGUAAAUACGCAAAUUUGGAAGUGUGCAUUAGUUGUCGACGAAACCUGUAAUUAACUGCUGGAUAAAACCAGACAAAAUUCUCAAAGUGUUAUAUUUGUCAGUAAAUGUGACUAAGGUGAAAAAUAUAUAUAUAUAUAUAUAAUUAUAUAUAUACAUAUAUACUUACAUACCUAUAUAUAUAUGCAUGUAUGUGUAUGUAUGUAUGCAUAUGUAUGUGUGUAUGUGUGUUAUUUCUGUAGAAAAUAAAAUUACACGUAUGUCACAAGACUUGAUUUUCACGUAAUUGCGAUCGUCGGCCGAAGACAAUUGGUGUGAAUAUAGUGUCACGUAAAUGUGUAUGUUUCUCUAUGUCAUGGUGAAGUUUUAUUUCAAGAUUUCUACCCAAUAGAGAAAGAGUCGCUUUCUAAUCUACAUCCAAGGGACUUCGUUGGAAGUUCGGCAACAUGAAUAGGGUAUUUUUAUACGUAUGCAUGUCAGUUUGUAUGUAUGUGUGUAUAUAGGUAUGCAUGCGUGCGUGUGUGUAUGUAUGUAUGUAUGUAGGUAUGCAUGUAUACGUGCACAUUUGUAAUUUUGGUUUUACGUAUGACUUCUCAUGCAUAUACUUGCAUAUCGAGACAUGCUCAUAUAUAUAUAUAUAUAUAUAUAUAUAUAUAUAUAUGCCGUAUGUAUAUGUUUGUGAAAAGCAAUAGCUGAAUGAUACCAUUUACUAUUGAAAGCGAUUGAUAUUAUAAUUGUAGGUGACGAAGUAUCUGUCUCCGGCUGAUGAAUUUUAAUAUCAAAUGGAAUUUACAUGAUUAUCGGUAUCUACAUACAUAUUUGUAUCCUGGUACCAGCAUUAACAUUUUUGGAACUAAUUUUUAUACUGUGCUACAUAUUUUUACGAUAUCAAUGAUAUUUCGCAAAUAGAAAAUAUGAAGCAAUUGCUAUUUACUAAUGCGUUAUCAUUCAAAAUUUGAGCGGGAGCAAAAUUUGAAAAUGUCAUUCGAUAUAAAUUAACUACAUUGAACUUGUUUAAAAGUUGCUUAUAUAUAGGGAAUCUGUCAUUAUAGCAUUGAAUAUUGCAAAACGUAAAUCAUAUGAAAUACAUGGGUCCUAGUAAAAUUAUUUACUGCUAUUUUAGCGCUGCUUCAUUGACGACUCUGAUUCGACCCUGGCAUUGGACGUCUUAACGUUUCUCUGAUUCCCUUGCACCCCCUCAUCUCUCUUCCCCUCUCUCCCUAAGAUAGCCUACCACAUGACUCUCUCCAACUCGCCUCUUUUCCUCACACCUCUCUCCCACCUGCCUCUUAUCCUACUCUUUGAUUAUGCGUGUGAGCAUAUUUCUGUUUAUGUGGAGAUGGAAAGUUUUAUAUCAAUCGUGUUUAAUUAUUAAAUUUUUGUGUCUAUCUCUCCCCUCUGUCUCUCUCUUUCACAUCUUCUAUUUGUAUGUGUACAUUUCUGUGUACAUACCUGCGUGAAUGUGUGUGUUUGAGAGCGCGUAUGUUUGCCUACGGUGCCAGACUCUUCUGUUGCCAAAACAGGUGCCAUGUCCAGUCAACAGUAUUAUUGGUGGUGGAAUAUACUUUCCUACAGGUAGAAUUAUAGUUCAAACUAAUGUAAUUUAUAGAGAAUAAAUUAUUUGGUAACUGCAGGAUGAUUCUGAAUGGAAGCGUGAGUGGUGAAAAGAGUAAAAGAAAUACAUGUGUUAAACAAAGUUCCAGUCAAAUAGGUGGUGGUGGAACAAUGUAUUGGUGCAAAUAAAUCUAGUUAUAAAUAACUAGUGUGGUCUAAAUUGAAGGUGUAUUUUACCUUUUUAUAGUACGCUUCAACUAAAUUUUGUUGCAAAAGCCAUUAAUUCGUCCUUAUUGGCAUAUUAUUUUUAGCGGAAUUAUCAAAUUAUUUCUCGAUAAAUUCGACGUUCCAUAGUACCAUUUUGCUCUGCUCCUGACAUACUCCAACAUUGGCUUAGAAACUGCACUGAUGAACUAAAAACACAAGAACAAUAAAGAUCUGCAUAUUCAUAAAGCAUAACUUGUUUCCAUCAUAAAGCAUAAAACUUUUCAAUAAUAUUUUCAUUAAAUAUGCAGAGAAAACAAGACAACAUUCACAACUUUUUCGUCGUUAGGCGAGAUUCAUAAUCUGACAAUCAAUCCGUAAUAGAGAACCUGGAAAGACCUAUUUUCUGCUUGAUAAUAAAUUCGGUAAUUUGAGGUAUCAUAUCUGAAGUAUUGCCGCACUAAACUCAUUUGUUAUUCAGGGAUAGAAGAUAUUCAAAUAAAAAAGCAUUUGCUACUACUAAGGAACCCACAUAUUAAUGUAUAUUGAUUCAUGUCCAAGUAAGAAGCAAAGCUGGUUUAUGCCUGUAUAUAUGUACUUAUGUUACAUAUUAUAUAUAAAGCGAUUGAUAUUGUAUGAAGUUAUAUUGAAUUUCAGUGAGAUUAAGCUAUUCAUUAUACAGUAACUAAAUAACUUUAGCUAAUAAUUAGGUACAUGUUACUCUAAUUUAUUCUCGCGAAAAUCCUUUGCAAAACCCAAAUAGACAUAAUUCGCGAAACGACUACAUACAUUAUACACUGUGAAACCUAUCAAGUGCAUACAUAUAUUUUAAAAUAUAAUUACAUUCUAAUUAAUCCUAAUAUAUUCCCUGUGCAUUUUUAAUUUUUCUUUCUUUUCUCCCACUUUAUUGGAUGAAUAGCAAUUUAUAUAUAAUACAUAAGUACAUACGAACACACACAUAUAUAU